rnacentral:rRNA from 1 species
GAUGAACGCUGGCGGCGUGCCUAAUACAUGCCAGUCGAGCGAACAGAUGAGGAGCUUGCUCCUCUGACGUUAGCGGCGGACGGGUGAGUAACACGUGGAUAACCUACCUAUAAGACUGGGAUAACUUCGGGAAACCGGAGCUAAUACCGGAUAAUAUAUUGAACCGCAUGGUUCAAUAGUGAAAGACGGUUUUGCUGUCACUUAUAGAUGGAUCCGCGCCGCAUUAGCUAGUUGGUAAGGUAACGGCUUACCAAAGCAACGAUGCGUAGCCGACCUGAGAGGGUGAUCGGCCACACUGGAACUGAGACACGGUCCAGACUCCUACGGGAGGCAGCAGUAGGGAAUCUUCCGCAAUGGGCGAAAGCCUGACGGAGCAACGCCGCGUGAGUGAUGAAGGUCUUCGGAUCGUAAAACUCUGUUAUUAGGGAAGAACAAAUGUGUAAGUAACUAUGCACGUCUUGACGGUACCUAAUCAGAAAGCCGCGGCUAACUACGUG